CAGGCCUAACACAUGCAAGUCGAGCGGAUGACGGGAGCUUGCUCCUGGAUUCAGCGGCGGACGGGUGAGUAAUGCCUAGGAAUCUGCCUGAUAGUGGGGGACAACGUUUCGAAAGGAACGCUAAUACCGCAUACGUCCUACGGGAGAAAGCAGGGGACCUUCGGGCCUUGCGCUAUCAGAUGAGCCUAGGUCGGAUUAGCUUGUUGGUGAGGUAAUGGCUCACCAAGGCGACGAUCCGUAACUGGUCUGAGAGGAUGAUCAGUCACACUGGAACUGAGACACGGUCCAGACUCCUACGGGAGGCAGCAGUGGGGAAUAUUGGACAAUGGGCGAAAGCCUGAUCCAGCCAUGCCGCGUGUGUGAAGAAGGUCUUCGGAUUGUAAAGCACUUUAAGUUGGGAGGAAGGGUUGUAGAUUAAUACUCUGCAAUUUUGACGUUACCGACAGAAUAAGCACCGGCUAACUCUGUGCCAGCAGCCGCGGUAAU
rnacentral:rRNA from 1 species